rnacentral:rRNA from 1 species
GUGCACGCUGGCGGUAGGCCUAACACAUGCAAGUCGCACGGCAGCACAGUAAGAGCUUGCUCUUACGGGUGGCGAGUGGCGGACGGGUGAGGAAUACAUCGGAAUCUACUUUUUCGUGGGGGAUAACGUAGGGAAACUUACGCUAAUACCGCAUACGACCUACGGGUGAAAGCAGGGGAUCUUCGGACCUUGCGCGAUUGAAUGAGCCGAUGUCGGAUUAGCUAGUUGGCGGGGUAAAGGCCCACCAAGGCGACGAUCCGUAGCUGGUCUGAGAGGAUGAUCAGCCACACUGGAACUGAGACACGGUCCAGACUCCUACGGGAGGCAGCAGUGGGGAAUAUUGGACAAUGGGCGCAAGCCUGAUCCAGCCAUACCGCGUGGGUGAAGAAGGCCUUCGGGUUGUAAAGCCCUUUUGUUGGGAAAGAAAAGCAGCAGGUUAAGACCCCGCUGUUCUGACGGUACCCAAAGAAUAAGCACCGGCUAACUUCGU